rnacentral:misc_RNA from 1 species
GAAAUGCGAUAAGUAACGUGAAUUGCAGAAUUCCGUGAAUCAUCGAAUCUUUGAACGCACAUUGCGCCCUCUGGCAUUCCGGGGGGCAUGCCUGUCCGAGCGUCAUUACGCACCCUCAAGCCCGGCUUGUGUGAUGGGCCCCGGCGUCUCGUUCGCGAGACGGGCCCGAAAGGCAGCGGCGGCGUCGACCCGAUGAGCCCGAGCGUAUGGGGACUUCUGUCACACGUUCGCGGUGCGGACCGGCGCCUGCUUGACUUUUCUGAUUAUCCAGGUUGACCUCGGAUCAGGUAGGGAUACCCGCUGAACUUAAGC